rnacentral:rRNA from 1 species
UACAGAGGGGGCAAGCGUUAUUCGGAAUUAUUGGGCGUAAAGGGCGCGUAGGCGGUCACGCACGUCCGUUGUGAAAUCGCUCGGCUCAACUGGGCGGGGUCAGCGGAUACGGUGUGACUGGAGCAAGCUAGGGGGCAAUGGAAUUCCCGGUGUAGUGGUGGAAUGCGUAGAUAUCGGGAGGAACACCAGUGGCGAAGGCGGUUGCCUGGAGCUUUGCUGACGCUGAUGCGCGAAAGCGUGGGGAGCGAGUCCGG